rnacentral:tRNA from 1 species
AGGGAUAUAGCUCAGGAGGUAGAGCACUUGCCAGGCAUGCAAGAGGUCCUGGAUUCAAUUCCAGUAUCGCCC